rnacentral:rRNA from 1 species
UGGGGAAUUUUGGACAAUGGGCGAAAGCCUGAUCCAGCAAUGCCGCGUGUGUGAAGAAGGCCUUCGGGUUGUAAAGCACUUUUGUCCGGAAAGAAAUCCUUGGCUCUAAUACAGUCGGGGGAUGACGGUACCGGAAGAAUAAGCACCGGCUAACUACGUGCCAGCAGCCGCGGUAAUACGUAGGGUGCAAGCGUUAAUCGGAAUUACUGGGCGUAAAGCGUGCGCAGGCGGUUUGCUAAGACCGAUGUGAAAUCCCCGGGCUCAACCUGGGAACUGCAUUGGUGACUGGCAGGCUAGAGUAUGGCAGAGGGGGGUAGAAUUCCACGUGUAGCAGUGAAAUGCGUAGAGAUGUGGAGGAAUACCGAUGGCGAAGGCAGCCCCCUGGGCCAAUACUGACGCUCAUGCACGAAAGCGUGGGGAGCAAACGGGAUUAGAUACCCUGGUAGUCCACGCCCUAAACGAUGUCAACUAGUUGUUGGGGAUUCAUUUUCCUUAGUAACGUAGCUAACGCGUGAAGUUGACCGCCUGGGGAGUACGGUCGCAAGAUUAAAACUCAAAUGAAUUGACGGGGUCUAGCUGUUUCCUG